AGAGUUUGAUCCUGGCUCAGGAUGAACGCUAGCGGCAGGCUUAAUACAUGCAAGUCGUGGGGCAGCACAGGGUAGCAAUACUUGGGUGGCGACCGGCAAACGGGUGCGGAACACGUACGCAACCUUCCUUCAGGCGGGGAAUAGCCCAGAGAAAUUUGGAUUAAUACCCCAUAAGAUUUUGAGAUGGCAUCAUCUUAUUAUUAAAGAUUUACCACCUGAAGAUGGGCGUGCGGCUGAUUAGGUAGUUGGCGGGGUAACGGCCCACCAAGCCUACGAUCAGUAGCUGAUGUGAGAGCAUAAUCAGCCACACGGGCACUGAGACACGGGCCCGACUCCUACGGGAGGCAGCAGUAAGGAAUAUUGGUCAAUGGACACAAGUCUGAACCAGCCAUGCCGCGUGGAGGAUGAAGGUCCUCUGGAUUGUAAACUUCUUUUAUCUGGGACGAAAAAAGGGUUUUCUAACUCGUCUGACGGUACCAGAUGAAUAAUCUCCGGCUAACUCCGUGCCAGCAGCCGCGGUA
rnacentral:rRNA from 1 species